GCUCCUCUCAGGUAGGAGGUAACUCACUAAAGGAGACUGUUUUCUCCAGGAUGGAGAAUAUACUCCUUUACCUAAAACAAAGUCCGUCAUCCUUCUCAUAGGAGCCCAGUGAGCUCAUCACUGGUUAUCCUGAAGCGUAACAUGGUGGCAGGGUUGCUGUCAUCUGGAGUUGGUGGCAGUAGACGAUGUGGCAGCUACCAGGGCGCUGAGGGCUGGGAUCAAGGCGCACAUCUCCUGGGUCUCUGAGCAGGUGAUUUGGCUGGGUUUUACUUUAGCUUUAGGGGCUUCAGGAGGGAGCAGUUGCUUGCAUCUUCUCCACAGGGGACCCUGGGGAUCUGUGACCUGCCUAAGAGUGACUGAGGACAUAGCCCGGGCCGGGUGACCUCCUGGGGCUGCAGAAGCUUGGGGUCGGCUCCUUCCUAAUUCGCCUUCUCCCCAAGUGCUGCGGGCCGAGGCUGGUUCCGGUCUGUGGACUGCGAUUGAGGCUGGAUGUGGAAUAGCGUCCUCUCUCUCACACGGAGCGAGUUCAAUCUUUAUUUUGGUGCCUGACACACGGUACACCCCUAACUCACAGUAACUACUGUGGCUGUUAUUGGUAUUGUCAUCUCUUCCGUACAUAUGCUUCUUGGUGGACGAAGGCGAGAGGAAGACAUGGUCAGAAUUCCAAGAAACGCUGAAGACUUUGCAGAGGUCCCAGCAGUGGAGGGGUGGUGCACUCCUGCGCCUGGUGCCCUAAGGUAUCUUCUCUCUCCUCCUUCUCUGAUGGUGGCUUUAUCCUUCAGGCGGACAGAGCCACCCCUGGGCACAUGCACAGGAAGUAUGAAGGCAGAAGGACUGGGUGUUGAGACUGGAGGAGUGACGGCCCACCUCCUCGCCCAAGUGUCUCUGGCACCCACGGCUCAGCCUGGGCAGUGUCUGCCCAUUUCCCCUCCCUUUCCCAGCCCUCACUCACUUUCUGCUCCUCCUGUGCCUGUAAGCUCUCCUCAUGCCCAUCUGUGCCAGGGGUCUUUGAGAAGACCAUUUCCAUCCCCAGCAAGACUCCUGGAUCCUCCAAGCAAGGAUGCCUGGCUUGGCAGAGGGAUCACAGAGAAUUGUCAUGACAACCCCCUGUGCCAGGGAGGAGCUUGUGCAAGCUGCUUUCUGAGCUGCUGGCCCUCAGAAGAGUCACAACAGGGCAGGGAGUACCUGGGGCCAGCUGGGUUCCUGCGAGACAGGGAGGAGGUGUGUGGACAAGCAAUGAAUAACUUUGCAGAGAGAAGAGCAGGAGGCAAGAUGGCAGUGCUCUGAUUUAUUUAAAACUCUGUAGGUGCAGGGGGCGAAGCUGGGACUGAAUCCUUCCAUGAGGCUUGGGAUGGUUCCGGAGCACACCAUUUUUCUUUCUUCCCUGUCCCUUCCUUUCUCUGCUCCCUGUCUUCUGUGAAUUGCUUUCCUCUUCUUCUUAGCUGGGUGCUUAUGGGGCCAACCUUAUGCCAACCCGCUGAGUCCUCCCAUUAAUCCUAUCUGGUUCCCAACAAGUGAUUUAGGGGUUUGCAUGCUUUGAACACACACAGAGGGGAUGGCAGGGCAAAGAGAGAUGGGAGGAAAAAAACACUCCUAUUUGAUCUGCUAAAAAAGCACCUUAAGAGCAAAGCAAUCCACAUUACUGAAGGUAUCAGCUGGGUCCUGCCUACAGUUAUGUCAAACAAAGUGUGCCGAGAAGUGCCAACUCUCCCUUUGUGCUGUGACACCAAGAGCUGCCAAAAGAUAUUAAAAAGCUUGCAUGAACUAGGUGAUGGCAGCUGUAACUAUCUAAGUUAUUGCCUGGCAGCUGCAGUGCUGCCUGUCUGCUGCUGGCCGCCUGUACGGUUGGUUCUCCAUUUGUUUGCCCUUUCUCUAGCAACCGCUAGCGCGCAGCCUGCGGUGGGCUUCUCGCCGUCCCAGCCCCCUUGUGCCUGUAGGCAGGGAGCCGCGCAGAGAUGCAGAUUCUGGGAGAAGUCCGAUUUCUCUUGGCUGGGCCCCAAGCCUGGUUUUGCAUUGGUCAGCUCGACUCCAAGGAACCUUGGACAAGGCGAUGGUGCAGCAGCGAGCGCGCACACCCAGGCACACACACCAAAUGCAGGUUUUUGUGUUUGUGUGUGUGGCUUUUUUCCCUUCCAGGUUGGCUGGGAGUGAGCUAGAACAAUAUCGCCAGCUCCAAGCCCUGCCAGUUCUACAUCUGCUCCCUAAAACCUCCAGCAAAUAAGAAUACGGUGGGGUUGUUUAACUAACACUUACAAUAUACACACUUUUCAGCUUUUCUUCCCCUGGGC
ensembl:lincRNA